rnacentral:rRNA from 1 species
AGUGAACGCUGGCGGUAGGCCUAACACAUGCAAGUCGAACGGCAGCACAGGAGAGCUUGCUCUCUGGGUGGCGAGUGGCGGACGGGUGAGGAAUACAUCGGAAUCUACCUUUUCGUGGGGGAUAACGUAGGGAAACUUACGCUAAUACCGCAUACGACCUUCGGGUGAAAGCAGGGGACCUUCGGGCCUUGCGCGGAUAGAUGAGCCGAUGUCGGAUUAGCUAGUUGGCGGGGUAAAGGCCCACCAAGGCGACGAUCCGUAGCUGGUCUGAGAGGAUGAUCAGCCACACUGGAACUGAGACACGGUCCAGACUCCUACGGGAGGCAGCAGUGGGGAAUAUUGGACAAUGGGCGCAAGCCUGAUCCAGCCAUACCGCGUGGGUGAAGAAGGCCUUCGGGUUGUAAAGCCCUUUUGUUGGGAAAGAAAAGCAGCCAGUUAAUACCUGGUUGUUCUGACGGUACCCAAAGAAUAAGCACCGGCUAACUUCGUGCCAGCAGCCGCCGUAACAC